UUGAUUAUAAAAAAAAAAAUUCCCUUUCAACACAGACUUACACAAAAUGGCAAAAGCUUCAUUGUUGUUUCCUUGUUUGAUAGUUUUAUUUCUGAUAGCACUUGAAACAGGUUUUGUGAAUGCAUGUCAAUUCAACUGCCAAACGGCAAAUGAUUGCAAAAAUUUACGAUGCUUUAAGCCUACUUGCAAAAAGUAUUGCCUCAAUGGAUGUUGCAUUUGCGGUUGUACCGGACUCGGUGAAAAUGGGAAUGUUUCAUAAAUAAUUAAUGAUAAUGAAAUAAAGUUGAGGUUUAAUGUAACAAUUUCAUGCCUUGUCGUGGAAUUUAUAUAAGAGAAGAAAUAAGAUCUUGAUUCUCUUCA